rnacentral:rRNA from 1 species
GGUGCAAGCGUUAAUCGGAAUUACUGGGCGUAAAGCGUGCGCAGGCGGUUUUGUAAUUCUGACGUGAAAUCCCCGGGCUUAACCUGGGAAUUGCGUUGGAGACUGCAAGGCUAGAAUCUGGCAGAGGGGGGUAGAAUUCCACGUGUAGCAGUGAGAUGCGUAGAGAUGUGGAGGAACACCGAUGGCGAAGGCAGCCCCCUGGGUCAAGAUUGACGCUCAUGCACGAAAGCGUGGGGAGCAAACAGGAUUAGAUACCCUGGUAGUCCACGCCCUAAACGAUGUCUACUAGUUGUCGGGUCUUAAUUGACUUGGUAACGCAGCUAACGCGUGAAGUAGACCGCCUGGGGAGUACGGUCGCAAGAUUAAAACUCAAAGGAAUUGACGG